UACGUAGGGUGCAAGCGUUGUCCGGAAUUAUUGGGCGUAAAGAGCUCGUAGGCGGUUUGUCGCGUCGAAUGUGAAAACCCGGGGCUCAACCCCGGGCCUGCAUUCGAUACGGGCAGACUUGAGUCCGGUAGGGGCGAGUGGAAUUCCUGGUGUAGCGGUGAAAUGCGCAGAUAUCAGGAGGAACACCAAUGGCGAAGGCAGCUCGCUGGAACGGUACUGACGCUGAGGCGCGAAAGCGUGGGGAGCGAACAGG
rnacentral:rRNA from 1 species